rfam:Citrus sinensis cultivar Ridge Pineapple sweet orange scaffold00171_contig_26, whole genome shotgun sequence.
GGUGGAGAGUUCCAAAGGGAUCGCAUUGAUCUGAUGAUAACAUUAAAUUAAUCACUCAAACGGGUUGAUUUUAUUAUAUAUAUGAUUUCUUUCAUUUUUAGAUCAUGCGAUCCCUUCGGAAUUCCCCAU